rnacentral:rRNA from 1 species
UGAACGCUGGCGGCGUGCCUAAUACAUGCAAGUCGAGCGAACAGAUGCGGAGCUUGCUCCUCUGACGUUAGCGGCGGACGGGUGAGUAACACGUGGAUAACCUACCUAUAAGACUGGGAUAACUUCGGGAAACCGGAGCUAAUACCGGAUAAUAUAUUGAACCGCAUGGUUCACUAGUGAAAGACGGUUUUGCUGUCACUUAUAGAUGGAUCCGCGCCGCAUUAGCUAGUUGGUAAGGUAACGGCUUACCAAGGCAACGAUGCGUAGCCGACCUGAGAGGGUGAUCGGCCACACUGGAACUGAGACACGGUCCAGACUCCUACGGGAGGCAGCAGUAGGGAAUCUUCCGCAAUGGGCGAAAGCCUGACGGAGCAACGCCGCGUGAGUGAUGAAGGUCUUCGGAUCGUAAAACUCUGUUAUUAGGGAAGAACAAAUGUGUAAGUAACUAUGCACGUCUUGACGGUACCUAAUCAGAAAGCCACGGCUAACUACGUG